rnacentral:rRNA from 1 species
UACGUAGGGUGCAAGCGUUAAUCGGAAUUACUGGGCGUAAAGCGUGCGUAGGCGGCUUCUCAAGUCAGGGGUGAAAGCCCAGAGCUCAACUCUGGAAUUGCCUUUGAGACUGAGAGGCUUGAGUGCGGGAGAGGUGAGUGGAAUUCCCAGUGUAGAGGUGAAAUUCGUAGAUAUUGGGAAGAACACCGGUGGCGAAGGCGGCUCACUGGCCCGUAACUGACGCUCAGGCACGACAGCGUGGGGAUCAAACAGG